UACGUAGGGUGCAAGCGUUGUCCGGAAUUAUUGGGCGUAAAGAGCUCGUAGGCGGUUUGUCGCGUCUGCUGUGAAAACUCGGGGCUUAACCCCGAGCCUGCAGUGGAUACGGGCAGACUAGAGGUAGGUAGGGGAGAAUGGAAUUCCCGGUGUAGCGGUGAAAUGCGCAGAUAUCGGGAGGAACACCGGUGGCGAAGGCGGUUCGCUGGGCCUUACCUGACGCUGAGGAGCGAAAGCGUGGGGAGCGAACAGG
rnacentral:rRNA from 1 species